rnacentral:rRNA from 1 species
GUAGUCCAUGCCGUAAACGAUGUCUACUAGCCGUUGGUCUCUUUGAGGGAUUAGUGGCGCAGCUAACGCGAUAAGUAGACCGCCUGGGGAGUACGGUCGCAAGACUAAAACUCAAAUGAAUUGACGGGGGCCCGCACAAGCGGUGGAGCAUGUGGUUUAAUUCGAUGCAACGCGAAGAACCUUACCUGGUCUUGACAUAGUAAGAACUUUCCAGAGAUGGAUUGGUGCCUUCGGGAGCUUACAUACAGGUGCUGCAUGGCUGUCGUCAGCUCGUGUCGUGAGAUGUUGGGUUAAGUCCCGCAACGAGCGCAACCCUUUUCCUUAUUUGCCAGCACUUUGGGUGGGAACUUUAAGGAUACUGCCAGUGACAAACUGGA